rnacentral:rRNA from 1 species
UACGUAGGGCGCAAGCGUUGUCCGGAAUUAUUGGGCGUAAAGAGCUCGUAGGCGGUUUGUCGCGUCUGCUGUGAAAACCUAAGGCUCAACCUUGGGCUUGCAGUGGGUACGGGCAGACUAGAGUGCGGUAGGGGUGACUGGAAUUCCUGGUGUAGCGGUGGAAUGCGCAGAUAUCUGGAGGAACACCGGUGGCGAAGGCGGCAUCCUGGACCAACACUGACGCUGAGGAGCGAAAGCCAGGGGAGCAA